GAUGAACGCUGGCUACAGGCUUAGCACAUGCAAGUCGAGGGGAAACGACGGGGAAGCUUGCUUCCCCGGGCGUCGACCGGCGCACGGGUGAGUAACGCGUAUCCAACCUGCCUCUGACUGAGGGAUAACCCGUCGAAAGUCGGCCUAAUACCUCAUGGUAUCGUCUGCGGGCAUCCAACGACGAUUAAAGAUUUCAUCGGUCAGGGAUGGGGAUGCGUCUGAUUAGCUUGUUGGCGGGGUAACGGCCCACCAAGGCUACGAUCAGUAGGGGUUCUGAGAGGAAGGUCCCCCACAUUGGAACUGAGACACGGUCCAAACUCCUACGGGAGGCAGCAGUGAGGAAUAUUGGUCAAUGGGCGAGAGCCUGAACCAGCCAAGUAGCGUGCAGGAAGACGGCCCUAUGGGUUGUAAACUGCUUUUAUGCGGGGAUAAAGUGAGGGACAUGUCCCUCAUUGCAGGUACCGCAUGAAUAAGGACCGGCUAAUUCCGUG
rnacentral:rRNA from 1 species